rnacentral:sRNA from 1 species
UGGGCUGGGUGAUGGCCCACGUGCAGUUU